GAAAGGAAAAGGCUUAAGGCAGGAAACUGUCUCUCUUCUUGGAUUUUAAAAGAAAGCAAGCAAAACAGCCAGGAGUUUUCCCCGGGAGUGAGAAAAACAGCCUGGCCAGCCUGCCCUCUCCUGGGGGUUACAGGAUUGCUGACAGCUCGGGUCCACGUGAUGGUCUAGAAAAGAGGCUCAAGCUGAGGAAAAUCCAAGAAAUCUUCUUAGGAGUCUUCCUUUCUAAAUGUAAAUGACUGAGUCAGUGCUUUGCUAAGGAGGGAAGGAAGUCACAAUCAGGCCGAGUGACUCAUUCAGUGCUGUUAGCUCCGGGAGUUGGAUAAAAAGUUUUAGCCAAAGCAGCAACAAAUCUACUUUAAAUACUAGCACAGUAAGGAAAUUCCUCUCUUUCAGGCUGAAUGCCACCCGCACAAAAGAACUCCUGUUGACAUCUCAUUUACAAUCUCCCCCAGGACACAGACAAGACCAUUUCAAUAAACCCGGCUCAGAGACACCUAUUGUUCGGAAUCUUCAACUAGCAACAGGCUUCCACCGCAACCUAUUGUUUUGUAAAAUAAAGGAUUUUGAAGGAGAAGGAUUGAGACUGUGGACGCCAUGAAAAGAGGAAGGAAAAAAGUCCCUUUGACCUGAUGCUGUCACAGAGCGUGCAAGAAGAAUGAAGUUAAUGGAUUUCCAUUUUUAUAAGAAGUGCAUAAGAAACGCCUGUUAAGUUUCUGAACUGGUGAUGGAGAAUUCCAAAUUUGCUGCCAGCUUGGUGCAUCAAGAAGCAAACUCCUGCCCACGGGUUUGCUAAAUGCAAAGCCCCGGGCUACACUUACCCUAUUCUCAGCCUUACCAAAGUCCUGAUAGCCCCAAUAGCAGAGCACCAGCUUGCCUUUAUUUUGUAGAAAAUUUGUCAGAAAAUUGUGAUAAGAAGAAAUUGACUUCAAAGUGCAUUCUAACAAAGAAAAAAAAGUCACUACUGUAAUUCUGUAUAAAAGGACCUCAAUGCUGUUGACUUUUCCAAGCAGCCAUGACUUUGGGGGAUGGUGAGCCCCUUCCUAGAUUUGGAGGCUGAGUCUUGUUUGAUGGGAAGAUUGAUGGGAAUGCUUCUGGGAAGGAUCACCCCCAUAUCCCUUUUCUUCCUCUGGAUACUGUCAUCACCAAGAGAUACCCUGAACUGUGGCUGCCACCACAAAGAGCAUCUGCCUGAGAAGACAACCCACAGUGAAGAUGACAGGUGGAAACAUGGCAGGAAGCUGGUUUGGAUAUCUUCAGUGGCCUCCUUACCUCUAGAUUUGCUGUUACUGAGAAAAUGAAUGCCUUUCCCAUCUAAGUCACUUUGAUUUUAUUUCUAAAAUUUUAUUUGCUUAGUUAUUGAUUUGGCUUAGAGUUAUGCAAAUGGAUUUAUAUAUGCUAAGUGUCCUUCCUUGCUUGAACACUCCUAGUCAUUCAUCAAGAUUCACUUCAUUUAUGGUGCCUGGGUGGCUUAGUUGGUUAAGAGUCCAACUCUUGAUUUUGGCCAAGGUUGUGAUCUCACGGGUUCGAGGAAUCGAACCCCGCAUCAGGCUCUGCACUGACAGCAUGGAGCCUGAUUGGGAUUCUCUCUCUCUCAAAAUAAAUAAAUAAACAGUAAAAAAAAAAAAAAAAAGAUUCAUUUCAUUUGUGUUUCAUUAUCACCUUCUACCCGUCUCCAUUAUAAAACUCAUCACCCUUUGCUUGUUACAGUACUACUCCAAUGCUCUUGGAUGAUAGCAGAGGAAAAUUAGCAAUGAGGUAGGUCUUUGUUGACUGCUCUAUAUGAUUCUAUAUGAUGGGCGGCUGGGUGGCUCAGUUGGUUAAGCGCCCGACUUUGGCUCAGGUCAUGAUCUCACAGUUCGUGAGUUUGAGCCUCACGUUGGGCUCAGUGCUGACAGCUCAGAGCCUGGAAAAUGCUUCGGAUUCUGUGUCUCCCUCUUUCUCUGCUCCUUCCCCACUGGUGUUCUGUCUCCCUCUGUCUCACAAAACUGAAUAAAAGUUUUAAAAAAAAAAAA